CCAAUACUCCCUCCGUCCAAAAAUACUUGCCAUCAAAAUGAACAAAAAAGGAUGUAUCUAGAACUAAAAUACGUCUAGAUACAUCCCCUUUUAUCCAUUCUGAUGACAAGUAUUUCCGGACGGAGGGAGUAUGAC
rnacentral:pre_miRNA from 1 species